rnacentral:tRNA from 1 species
GUGAAUUUAGUUUAGUAAAAAAACAUUUGACUUGCAAUCAAAAGACCUAAGCUUAAACCUUAGAAUACACA